GUGAGGCCUGGAUAACCUUGGAAGGCUGUCAGAGCAGUCUUUUUGGUCAACCAUAAAGCCCGUUCCAAGAGAUGGCAGUUGGAAGAAACUGAGGUAAUGCAUAAGUGUACAUUUUAUUGGUUCAAUCAAGGAAGUUAUCGUCUUGAAUGGUUUCAUGCUGCCUUGCCAGAUGCAAUGACGAAAUUUUCUUAUACAGAGAGUUCCAGAAGCAAAAGCAGAAGUGAGAUUUUCGUCGAAUUGUAAUUCUGUGACUACAUGAAGCUUCCCAAUUUCCAAAGGAACACUCUCCUCAAAGUUAUUGUUAUGAAUCAACAAGAUUCUUAGUGAUUGCAGGUCUCCUAUUUCUGCUGGAAUUGUUCCACUCAGAUUAUUAUCCCUCAAGUCAAGCACUUCCAGCAUACCAAGUCUUCCGAAUUCUUUAGGAAUAGCACCGAAAAAAUGAUUCCCUGAGAGCACAAGUGAUCUCAAGUGAGUAAGAUUUCCAAGCUCGGAUGCCAGUGUUCCUUCCAAAGAACAUCCAUGGAGAUUUAACAUGUGCACUUUACUAUCCAGGCACUCGACACCAGACCACAUGCACGGGUCACAGUGAUCAGCAUUCCAGUUUUCAAGAACUCCAUUUGGAUCAGAAUAUACAU
rnacentral:misc_RNA from 1 species